AGAGUUUGAUCAUGGCUCAGAAUGAACGCUGGCGGCACGCUUAACACAUGCAAGUCGAACGAGAUCUUCGGAUCUAGUGGCAGACGGGUGCGUAACGCGUGGGAACCUGCCCUUUAGUAAGGAAUAACUCAGGGAAACUUGUGCUAAUACCUUAUAAUCCCUUCGGGGGAAAGCUUUAUGCGCUAAUGGAUGGGCCCGCGUUAGAUUAGCUUGUUGGUGAGGUAAUGGCUCACCAAGGCGACGAUCUAUAGCUGGUCUGAGAGGAUGAUCAGCCACACUGGGACUGAGACACGGCCCAGACUCCUACGGGAGGCAGCAGUGGGGAAUAUUGGACAAUGGGGGCAACCCUGAUCCAGCGAUGCCGCGUGAGUGAUGAAGGCCUUAGGGUUGUAAAACUCUUUCGCUAGGGAAGAUAAUGACGGUACCUAGUAAAGAAGAUCCGGGCUAACUCCGUGCCAGCAGCCGCGGUAAUACGGAGGGAUCUAGCGUUAUUCGGAAUACUGGGCUAAAGCGAGGCGUAGGCGGAUUUGUAAUUGGAGGUGAAAUCCCAGGGCUUAACCCUGGAACUGCCUUCAAAACUACAUUUCUUGAGUUUGGUAGAGGAGAGUGGAAUUCCUAGUGUAGAGGUGAAAUUCGUAGAUAUUAGGAGGAACACCAGUGGCGAAGGCGACUCUCUGGGCCAAUACUGACGCUGAGGUUCGAAAGCGUGGGGAGCAAACGGGAUUAGAUACCCCGGUAGUCCACGCAGUAAACGAUGAGUGCUAGGUGUUGGGAACAUUAGUUUUCAGUAUCGCAGCUAACGCCGUUAAGCACUCCGCCUGGGAAGUACGGCCGCAAGGCUAAAACU
rnacentral:rRNA from 1 species